UACAGAGGGGGCAAGCGUUGUUCGGAAUUACUGGGCGUAAAGGGCGCGUAGGCGGCCUUCUAAGUCGAACGUGAAAUCCCCGGGCUCAACCCGGGAACUGCGUCCGAUACUGGAAGGCUUGAAUCCGGGAGAGGGAUGUGGAAUUCCAGGUGUAGCGGUGAAAUGCGUAGAUAUCUGGAGGAACACCGGUGGCGAAGGCGGGUCUCUGGGCCGAUACCUGACGCUGAGACGCGAAAGCGUGGGAGCGAACAGG
rnacentral:rRNA from 1 species